UACGUAGGUGGCAAGCGUUGUCCGGAUUUACUGGGCGUAAAGAGCGCGCAGGCGGUCGUACAAGUCGCGUGUGAAAGCCCCCCGGCUCAACUGGGGAGGGUCACGCGAUACUGUUCGACUCGAAGGCAGGAGAGGGAAGUGGAAUUCCCGGUGUAGUGGUGAAAUGCGUAGAUAUCGGGAGGAACACCGGUGGCGAAGGCGGCAUCCUGGACCAAUAUUGACGCUGAGGAGCGAAAAGCCAGGGGAGCAAACGGG
rnacentral:rRNA from 1 species